rnacentral:rRNA from 1 species
CCUACGGGUGGCAGCAGUGGGGAAUAUUGGGCAAUGGGCGCAAGCCUGACCCAGCAACGCCGCGUGAAGGAAGAAGGCCCUCGGGUUGUAAACUUCUUUUAACAGGGACGAAGAAAGUGACGGUACCUGUUGAAUAAGCCACGGCUAACUACGUGCCAGCAGCCGCGGUAAUACGUAGGUGGCAAGCGUUAUCCGGAUUUACUGGGUGUAAAGGGCGUGUAGGCGGGAGAGCAAGUCAGACGUGAAAUUCCAGGGCUCAACCCUGAGCCUGCAUUUGAAACUGUUUUUCUUGAGUGCUGGAGAGGCAAUCGGAAUUCCGUGUGUAGCGGUGAAAUGCGUAGAUAUACGGAGGAACACCAGUGGCGAAGGCGGAUUGCUGGACAGUAACUGACGCUGAGGCGCGAAAGCGUGGGGAGCAAACAGGAUUAGAUACCCGGGUAGUC